rnacentral:rRNA from 1 species
CAGUCGCCGCGGUAAAACGAACCGUGCGAACGUUAUUCGGAAUUACUGGGCUUAAAGCGCGUGUAGGCGGGCCGCCACGUCGGUUGCUGAAAUCCCCCGGCUCAACCGGGGAAGUGGCAUCGAUACGAGCGGCCUUGAGGGGGGUAGGGGGAUCUGGAACUUCCGGUGGAGCGGUGAAAUGCGUUGAGAUCGGAAGGAACGCCCGUGGCGAAAGCGAGGUCCUGGACCCUUUCUGACGCUGAGACGCGAAAGCCAGGGGAGCGAACGGGAUUAGAUACCCCGGUAGUCCCUGUCUCUUAUU